rnacentral:lncRNA from 1 species
GUCCCAAAUGUAACCACAGAUAAUGAUCCAGAUACGAUGCCACACCCAGCAAUCACUGCACUUGAGUUUACUACAGCAAAAGCCAGCUCAAGCUAGGGCGAAUGUCUCGGUACCAAUCUUUCGUCGCCAUACACGUCUUUUUCGAUUUCAAUUUUCAGAUACAACUGUUCCCUCUCUUCAAAGGCCGGCCUUCUUUAGGGAAGUUACUUGGGGCCAACAUCCUUCAGGGCACAGAUCUGCUCCUCCCCCAUGGCAGACUGGACAGUCACCACAAGAUCCUUUCCCCCGUCAAAUCCUUCCUUGAUCUGAUUAGAUGGAGUAAGCAUUUUUGGACAAUCUUAGAACAUGAUAAAAUAUUUCAACAUUUGUUAAAAUCACAGAACAGGCAUGCAAGAGUGCAAUGACAAUAAUUCAAAUAAACGCAACUUAUGGCAACCAAGUUGGAUCCUUACAAGAAAAAUAAAGCGAAUGUGAAAUCCACCUCUUGUUCUAUCUGCUUUCAUGCAAAAUCUAUUAACAAGAUUCUAUGGAAGAGGGCUACCAAAAUAGACUGAUAUAUUACGAGAUAGACUGAAAUAUACAUAACGAUUGACUGAAACAUACACAAUGAUUAUAAAAUGGUUUACUAUUUUCCAGAAAAAAACGUUGAGAUAGAAAUAGGUAACUAAGAUGGAGAGUUUCUCAAAAUACCUGACCCAGGAGAGUCUCAUCAGUUGGGAGUCUAAGAUCAUCCUUGGUGUUGCCAUCAGAAGUAAGAAGGCUCACCUGAAAGUAAUUGAGAUAACUGAUAAAUAUCAAAUCUAACAUUUAACCGAAAAGAGAGGUACUUCGGCUGAUUGGAAGAACAUACAAAUCCAUCCUCUGAUAUGUCAAUCAGCUGAUACUCAGUGCGGUUCACGUGUGGCACCUAAGAGGAGUUGAAACAGUGAGUCAAUUAUGAAGUAAAUCAUAGAAAGGUAGUUAAACAGGCAGAGAUAUUUUAACUUACAUCACAGUUGUGUGAAGACGGAACAAUAUCUUCAAGUUUUUUCCCAUUGAAUAUGUCUAUGGCAACAAAGUGGCACUUAGCAUGACCGUGCUUACCGGUCUUUGAGGUAGAAACCUCCACCACCUGCAGCAUAACUUUAUUUAUCAACCAUGUUCGAUAAAUGAAACAAAAUCCCGACAAAACUAUGAUGCUACUUAAGAGCAUGGGAAAUGCCAAAUAGUUUCGGACAACUUCAUCAUUGCAUUGCUGAUAUCACUGAACCCAUCAAAGACUCGGUAAUAUAAACAAAGACAGUAGGGAACAUAGAAGGACAUGGAUUUUAUCAUCACCUUAUAAGAAUGCAGUGAACCACUAAAAUAGUGUACAACAAGCUAACUAGACUGGGAAAAGCUUUGGCAGCUUUAGACUUAUCACUAAAUGGAUCAGGUAUAUCUGUACGAGGCAAUUUGUCCAUUCUAACACAGGUAUAGAUCUCCAAAAGAAAAUUAUAGAAUUGGAAGUAUAAGAUCUCCAUCCUAUUCAUUGCAAACAUUUUAAUCACAAAGUGCAAUGUCAUAUAUCCAAUGUGGAGGCAAAUCCACCCCUGUCCAAUGAGAUGUAGGAAUGAAUGCAAGUUACCUUUUGUUCCAAGCUAACUUUUCAAACUCAUGAAUAAACUCCUUAAUAAAGUCAGCAAAGUCAUGUUUACCACUAUGCCCAGAUUGACUACCAAAAUGAUAAGCAUAUUCUGAGCAAGCUUAGUUGUCUAGGACAAGGCGUAGUUAUCACUCGGGUGACAAAUAGGCCAAAAACUACUCUUUGUAAUGGACUUAAACAAACAGGCUGUGCAUGAAGUAACUUCCCGUUUGUCUAGAUCACUGUAUAGAUGAUCAAAAUCAAACUUAUUGGUGAGGGCAAACUGGUACAGACCUGCUAACAACCAAGUGUAAAGAAUGAGUUCCCAUGUACGUUAUAUUUGGCUAGCUUUUGCCAAGAGUUAGUCACUGUACAUGUCAAACUAGAUUUCCCCUUAAUAAGGAAAAAAAUAACAUCCAUUUUUCGCUACGGAUUCAACUACUAAUUUGAACUGGGUGCAAUCUACAGACCAUCCCCCACUGAAGCAAACCAAAUUUAACCAUAACAAACUGCAGCUCUGCAAAGAAGAUUCAACAGAACAUACUAACUCCGGAUGGCACCCUUCACACGUGCAUCGUGUUUCUCAUCAACCAUGAUUUCCACCUUCCUCUAAGCAAUCACUAAUCAUCAAAUAUCUAGCAUCCAAAUCUACAAAUUCAAUCCCCAGACAUGAUGCCCACCAUCUGAAUAAUCAUCAGUUAUCUAGCAUCCAAUCCACAAAUUCCAUCCCCAGAGACAAGGGUCAACCGUCCAGAGAUAACAGUAACAGCAUUUAUCCCCAUCAAGACAUCAUAUAGUAUGACAGGAUACAACUUCAGCCAGUUCAACCACACAACCCCGCGCAUCUAGAUAUAAUCGCAGGACUAGAGUACUCGAGCCCAGAUCGAAGCGCAUAUAUACCUUGCAGGGGCGGCCCUUGAUGACGAUGAAGCCGUUCUUGCGGAUGGUGCCGGCCUGCUGCGGGUAGGUCUUGGACGCCCCAGCGUCGGCCUUCGACUCGAAGUGGUGCUCCUCGGAGUCCGACAUGGCUACCCCUGCAACAAACCCCAAACAAGAUCCGAGAAUU